GAUGAACGCUGGCGGCGUGCUUAACACAUGCAAGUCGAACGGUGAACGAGGGAGCUUGCUCCCUCCGGAUCAGUGGCGAACGGGUGAGUAACACGUGAGCAAUCUGCCCCGAACUCUGGGAUAAGCGCUGGAAACGGCGUCUAAUACCGGAUACGACGCGCGAAGGCAUCUUCUGCGCGUGGAAAGAAUUUCGGUUCGGGAUGAGCUCGCGGCCUAGCAGCUAGUGGGUGAGGUAACGGCUCACCAAGGCGACGACGGGUAGCCGGCCUGAGAGGGUGACCGGCCACACUGGGACGGAGACACGGCCCAGACUCCUACGGGAGGCAGCAGUGGGGAAGAUUGCACAAUGGGCGCAAGCCUGAUGCAGCAACGCCGCGUGAGGGACGACGGCCUUCGGGUUGUAAACCUCUUUUAGUAGGGAAGAAGCGAAAGUGACGGUACCUGCAGAAAAAGCACCGGCUAACUACGUGCCAGCAGCCGCCGUAA
rnacentral:rRNA from 1 species